rnacentral:rRNA from 1 species
UACAGAGGGGGCAAGCGUUAUUCGGAAUUAUUGGGCGUAAAGGGCGCGUAGGCGGCCUGGCAAGUGGAAGGUGAAAUCCCUCGGCUUAACCGAGGAACUGCCCUCCAAACUGCUUGGCUUGAGUCCGGGAGAGGUGAGUGGAAUUCCCAGUGUAGCGGUGAAAUGCGUAGAUAUUGGGAGGAACACCAGUGGCGAAGGCGGCUCACUGGCCCGUAACUGACGCUCAUGCACGACAGCGUGGGGAUCAAACAGG